CACGUUUCCUCUUCUUCGUUCUCUCCCCCAUCCCAAUCGUGCGUGUUCCUCACUCCUCAGCUCCGACCUUCACGGGGCCCACGGGGCCCGACGCCCGGCGGCUUUACUCAGGGCACCAUGGCCUUCUCUUCGUCACUGGCGCCGUUCUUCCCACCUUCUGGAACCUUCCGAGCCCAUCCCGCUAGGAGGCUGCGGGCCGAUGCACCCGGGAGAUUCGUGGCGUCCUGCUUGCCCCCUCCCGACGUCGUGGUGACGCGCGAGCAGGGAAAGAACGCCAGGCUCAUCUCCGCGCUGGAAAAGCAUAAUGUACACCCUCUGGAACUUCCUCUUAUUAAGCAUGUUGAAGGCCCUGAUACAGAUAGGCUUUUAGAUGUCCUACGUAAUGACAAGUUCGACUGGAUUAUUGUAACCUCUCCUGAGGCAGCUGCAGUGUUCCUUCAGGGAUGGAAGGCUGCUGGAAGUCCUAAGGUGCGAGUAGCUGUUGUUGGAGAAGGAACUGCAAGGGUUUUUCAUGAAGUGUCAGAAUCUGAUGAUCAAUCUCUAGAGCUUGCAUUUUCACCUUCCAAAGCUUUGGGUAAAGUCUUGGCUUCAGAGCUUCCAAGAAGCAACAGGAACUCAUGUAAAGUAUUGUACCCUGCAUCUGCAAAGGCUGGCCAUGAAAUUGAGGAUGUGCUAUCAGAACGAGGAUUUGACGUGACCCGACUGAAUACAUAUACAACUGUAGGUUCCUGUAGAAGAUGUCGACCCGCUGACAUUAAACCUUGCUAUAUCAGCUCCAGUUGUUGCGUUAGCUUCUCCUUCUGCACUGAGGGCAUGGCUAAAUCUUAUCUCAAAAUCUGAUAACUGGAACAACUCCGUCGCCUGCAUCGGUGAGACCACUGCGUCUGCAGCGAAGAAACUGGGCCUGAAGAGCAUAUAUUACCCAACGACCCCUGGACUUGAGGGGUGGGUCGAGAGCAUUCUCGAGGCGCUCAGAGUCCACAGGACAGCAUCAAAAGAGGCCCCAAAACGUUGAAAACGGGCGGAUGGCGGAGCUUCUUCUUGGCGUUGGUAGCCGUCCGCAGUGUCGAAGAAAUUCUUUGCUUCUUUGACGACAAUUGCCCCCCGUUGAGGGAGGUGGUGGUGUCAAGCCAUGGCUUUCCACUGGCCCAGUUUGUAAUGGAUUCUUGGGCCGAAAGGCCCAUCUCUAUAUGUCUUGACUCGCAAGGCGAUUGCAUCAGUCCAUCCAUCCAUUUCAUGGAGGGUUUUAGCAGUGCCGUCUCUGUUUCGCUAAUCGGUGAUGGCAGCCAGCCUUGUUGUAC